rnacentral:rRNA from 1 species
CGUAACAAGGUCUCCGUANGUGAACCUGCGGAGGGAUCAUUACACAAAUAUGAAGGCGGGCUGGAACCUCUCGGGGUUACAGCCUUGCUGAAUUAUUCACCCUUGUCUUUUGCGUACUUCUUGUUUCCUUGGUGGGUUCGCCCACCACUAGGACAAACAUAAACCUUUUGUAAUUGCAAUCAGCGUCAGUAACAAAUUAAUAAUUACAACUUUCAACAACGGAUCUCUUGGUUCUGGCAUCGAUGAAGAACGCAGCGAAAUGCGAUAAGUAGUGUGAAUUGCAGAAUUCAGUGAAACAUCGAAUCUUUGGACGCACAUUGCGCCCUUUGGUAUUCCAAAGGGCAUGCCUGUUCGAGCGUCAUUUGUACACUCAAGCUUUGCUUGGUGUUGGGCGUCUUGUCUCUAGCUUUGCUGGAGACUCGCCUUAAAGUAAUUGGCAGCCGGCCUACUGGUUUCGGAGCGCAGCACAAGUCGCACUCUCUAUCAGCAAAGGUCUAGCAUCCAUUAAGCCUUUUUUUCAACUUUUGACCUCGGAUCAGGUAGGGAUACCCGCUGAACUUAAGCAUAUCA